rnacentral:rRNA from 1 species
AUUGAACGCUGGCGGCGUGCUUUACACAUGCAAGUCGAACGGUAACAGGCCGCAAGGUGCUGACGAGUGGCGAACGGGUGAGUAAUGCAUCGGAACGUGCCCAGUCGUGGGGGAUAACGCAGCGAAAGCUGUGCUAAUACCGCAUACGAUCUAUGGAUGAAAGCGGGGGACCGUAAGGCCUCGCGCGAUUGGAGCGGCCGAUGUCAGAUUAGGUAGUUGGUGGGGUAAAGGCCUACCAAGCCGACGAUCUGUAGCUGGUCUGAGAGGACGACCAGCCACACUGGGACUGAGACACGGCCCAGACUCCUACGGGAGGCAGCAGUGGGGAAUUUUGGACAAUGGGCGCAAGCCUGAUCCAGCAAUGCCGCGUGCAGGAAGAAGGCCUUCGGGUUGUAAACUGCUUUUGUACGGAACGAAACGGCCUGGGUUAAUACCCUGGGCUAAUGACGGUACCGUAAGAAUAAGCACCGGCUAACUACGUGCCAGCCGCCGCCGUAAAAC